ensembl:lncRNA
GAUGGACAGUGCAAGGAAAGGGCAAAUUUCACAUACACAGCUAGAGGAAGGGAUAACAGUGGACAAAAGGCAAGACUAGCAGUCUGAAUGGAGAAUGACAAUAGUCUGAUGGAUAACAAAGGCAUUGUGCCAGACUGCACUCUGCUUAUGUUUCAGGUGGCUGCCGGAGGAUCAGCUGGACUACACAAUAAUGCAAAGAGCAGGGGGGCCAGGAAAAGAUACAGCAAGAAGAAGAAGAGAACUGAAAGGGCUGAAAGCUACAGAGGUUACAGGAAACCUGGAGCCUAUCCCAGAGAGCAUCGGGCACAAGGCGGGGUACACCCUGGACAGGGUGCCAAUCCAUCACAGAGCACAAUCACAUACACAUCCAUUCAUACACUACAGACACUUUGGAAAUGCCAAUCCCCAAUGUCUUUUGACUGGGGGGAGUACCCGGAGGAAACCCCCACAGCACAGGGAGAACAUGCAAACUCCACACACAUAGGGCCACGGUGGGAAUCAAACCCCCAAUCCUGGAAGUGUGAGGCAAACGUGCUAACCACUAAGACACCAUGCCCCAAAACUGAAAUAUCACUUACAUAUAGUAUUACAGCCUCAAAUCUUUUUGAGUAUGAUGCGACACGCUUUGGAUUUGGGGAUUCUCUGCCAUUCUUCUCUGCAGAUCCUCUCAAGCUCUGUCAGGUUGACUGGGGACCGUUGGUGAACAGUAAUUUUCAGGUCUUUCCAGAGAUGUUCGAUGGCCACUCAAGGACAUUCACAGAGUUGUCCCUAAGUCACUGUUGCAUUGUCUUGGCUGUGGUCAUUGUCCUGUUGGAAGGUGAACUUUCGGCCCAG